UCCAAAACAUCAAAACUAAAAAUCCAAAAAAUGUUACAAAACUAAUAAACAACAUAACAAAAGACGAUUCGUCUUUCUCGUUGUUUCACUAGUUAAAGAACCAAACAUAUAUAACAUUAAUAUAUCCUACCAAACCAAAGAUAACAACUAAAUCUAUGAAGAAAAAUUCAACAUCAGAUUUUCGAAGAGAGCUAGAGAGACAAGCGAAGGAAGGUUGAAGACGGAUCAUUUCGAGAGCGUAGCAAACGUUUACGGUUUGAGUUUGCAGAAUUUGAUAGCAGAAUCUGACCAAAAGAUGCAAACCUAGAAGCUUCAAUCUCGUGAAUCGGAAAUGAAGAAAGUUUGGGAUACGUAAUGACCAUUGAAAUGCUUUAUUUCUUUUCUUCACAAACUAACUU
rnacentral:lncRNA from 1 species